CCGCAUCUGGGAACAGCUGGCUCUCAGCCUCUCGACCCUUGACCCCAUUCUCCUGGGAAAGGGAGGCGGGAUGGAAGAGGAGGGACUUGAGCGUUCAGGGGUGGGCAGGAGGCUGCAGGCCGGACGCAGGGGCCCACAGCAGGAUGUGGCCAGUGGACAGGCGGAGGGGUCCAGGCCCAGUCGCCUCUCAGUUCCAGCCUGGGCGGUGAGGGGAGCCUGGAGGCCCCACCGAGGGAAGGCAGAGAGCUCAGCCCCUCCUCCCUCCCAGCUGCAAACCCCACUCCCCCGGGCAGCCCAGGGCAGCGGCCUGACCCUCACAUCUCAGCCCCCGGCCUCCUCCUCGCUCAGGUGCUCCUGAAGCGGAGGCUUUGCUGGCCGACUCUUCACCACCGUCGGCGGGUGGGAAGCCCCCAGCCCCGAGCUCAGAGGUGGGGUCUCCACCUGGAGGUGCUACCCUGCCGGUCCCUCAGGCUGGGUCUGCCUAGGUCCGAUUCGUGGGGAGCCUGGCGGGAGGGGCACACCCCUUUGCUCCUCCUAGGCCCUUGUGGUGGUGGGGGCGGGACCCCUGCCUAGCCCAAGUGCUGAGGGCGGGAGUGGCCACCACAAAGACAGCAAUUGUGAGCAGGCCGGUGCACAAAGAGGCGGGCAGCCCGGGGCCUGAGGCCCUCCGAAUGGAAAUGAGGCCACAGCCCCUUUCCUCCUCCCCUGCCUGCGUCCUCCUCCUGGGGCCUGGCCUCAGAUGACAGUCCCAGGGGCAGACCUUGUCUUGGUCUGGGGUCCCUCAGAUGCCACCAGGUUGGCUGGAGCUUCCAGGCCGAAGACACGCGACACUCAUCCAAGGACAGCCAGGGCAGCCAGACUAGGUGCUUGCUGAGCAGAGGCCAGGAUCCUGCACCCCUGGGAGCUGUGCCAAGGGACCCCUGCCCUAGCUGAGUACUCAUCUCUGCAAGCACAGGAGCCCAGGUUGAGUGAGGCCAGCCCGGCCCUUGUCUCCAAGACUGCAGGUGACAGAAGAGAACAGCGUCCUCCUGUCAGCUCUGAAGAGGGCCAUGGAACCACACCUGCUGCCUGCAGAGCUCCAGCUGGGUGCAGGAGCCUGAGGAGGUGCCAGCUGCCUUGUCUGUUCCACGCCACGGCCCCACAGCUGGCUCUUGGUGUCCCUGGGUCCGCAUUUGGGGCUCUUUCCAGGACCUUCAAUGUCGGUGGUCCUUCUUAGGGCCUGUCUUGUUCAAGGUUACCCGAGGGCCUGGAAGCUCUCUGCCUGCAACUCUGGUGCCCAUGUGUCUGCCCCAGAGCAGGGCAAGGACCAGGUGGGCACCGUGCUGCUGGCCCCGAACUGUGCCCUUUCAAACAUCAGCUCAGCAGUGACUGAACUCUGUUGGUGAGGGCUCCCCAAGAAACCAGCAGAGCUCAGCCCUGGGGCCCUGGGGCCCUUCCCACGAGACCCCUCAAGGCCUGCACCCAACUCUCAUGCGGAGCAAAGACUUUGCCCUGCGCUGUGAAGCCUCUUCCCAACACCACAUGAGACACUAAUCCUGUAGCCACAUUUCCUGCAGACACAAUACCAGAUGUGCUCGUGAAGAAGCGCAUGGGUCAUCCUGGGACGUCCCCUGCCAUGCCUGCCAGAACUCACCAGGGAAAUAAGGAAACAGCCAAAAUACAACCAAAGCAGACUCUUCCACUGCCUGCCCAGGCUGUGGGUUCCUGGACAGAGCUGAGGCCCUGGCCCUAAGCUUCAUGCCUCCUGGAUUGGUCUGACCAUGUGGCACAGACUGUGGAGCCAAGCCUGGGAGUUAUUUGGGUGGACCAGCAGCUCUCACUUGUGUUUCCUGACCCGUCUGACUGGAGCCUCGUCCCAGCGAGGGGGAGCUGCAGUGCUGCCCAGGCCCUUUCAGGUCGGGACCUGGUCUCUCCCGGGGACCAAACAGCUGCCCCUGCACAGGUGAGCGAGAUUUGGGUGGAAUCGGAGCCAAGCAACGCCUGGAAGCAGGGUCAGGUGGUGACAUGCAAAAUCCAACUGCACUGAUAGAGCACCCUGGGCCUGUGGACAGCGGGAAGCCCUGCCCUGUGGAGGCCAAAUGGUUAAAAGAGAAGAAAGGAACUGGGAGAAAUCAAGCUGUCAAGUAGUUAAUUGACUUUGCCUCAAUCAGCCUGAUGAAUAUUCAUGAGGUGGCGGGUCCUCCUCAGGGCCCUUGUCUGAUCCAAGGCUCCUCUUCCUCUAAGCUGACAUGACAUCCCUGAGCCUGCCUCCUCCUCCUGAAGUCAGCCCUGAUUGGCUCAGCGGCGCACUCGAAAAUGCCAUAGCAACCCCUGGCUGGUUGCCUAGCAAUUCUUCCCUUUCUUUCCUUUUUUCCCCUAAAGCCCAAGCCAGUAAUCCAUAGGCUUAGGGGUGGAAAUAUCUUCAUGCGGUGGUGUGUGCAUGUGUGCAUGUGUGUGCCUGUGUGUAUGUGCAGGAGCGUGCAGGAGUGUGUCGUGUGCACGAGGAGUGAGCUGGGGGGCUGUCCCUGGCAGGCAGUCACCCUGGAGUGUCCUUUGCCACCCCUGCCAGCCAGGGCCCCCAGCCUGUUUCAGGAAGCCUGUCUGCCACCAGUGCAGGCACCAGGGAACCCAGGGCUUGUCUUUAACCCUGCCAGCUUCCCUGCCAGGUUUCUGGGGGAAAGCAGAGUUGAUCUUAGCUCCCAGGACUGUCCUGCAGGAAGGACAUUGGCUGGCUUUGACUUGGCGCAAAGGCCCAGGGUCCCCUUGGGUGGCUUUAGGGGGUGACAGAGGCUUCCUGGGAGCCCAAGCAGGUCAUCAGGGGUCUACAUGCUGGGGAUGGGUGUGAUGGAGUCUGGCCUGGGUGAAGCCCCCAGGAGGCUGCCCAGAGACGCCCCUUCUCACCCGCUGACCCUCCCUGACCAAGUCCCAGAGACAGUGCUGAGCUCAGUGCUGGGCCCAUCCACCAGGUGUCUCUAGCGGACACUGAGGCGUCAGACUUGGGGGAAAGUGGUGGGCACCAUCUCUGACUGGUGACUUCGCACUUGGGAACUCAGUAGUGCUGCCUAAGCCCCGGGUGAGAGACCUGGAACUGGAACUGACCCUUAGUGGUGCUGUGGGCUGAGGCCUGGUCUGCACAGCUCUGGAUGGGUGUGUCUGGGAGAGGGUGUGGGCCUGUGUGGGGCUGCCUGGGACUUGGGGUCCUGUGACCUCUGCCUGGGACAGGCCGGAGAGCACUGGCGGGCAGGCAGGCAGUGGCAGGCAGCCCAGGGGAACUCCGGCUCCAGGCCCUUCCAGAGGUCUGCUGGCCACUAGGGAUGCUGGUCGGAAGACCGAGUUCCAAUUUCCAGGAAGAUGUGGGAGGAUUUUCAUUUGCCUUGUAGUGGGAAGGUACGUGAAAAAUGGCAGUAAAAGCCCAAGAGACCAUGCUAAAUUUCUUUCUUAUGGGAAUAACAGAAACAUGAGGGGGCGGGGGCUGGCAGUGGAGAAACUGGCUGUGCCUUAGGGGUGGGGGAGAUGGUAUGCACUGCAGGAGGAGGAUUCUGGGGUGGGUGGUUUACUUUCUGUGGUGCUGGGUAUUGAACUCAGCGUCUCAUGAAUGCUAGGCAAGUGCUCUACCACUGAGCUACAACCCCAGCACGUGUGCAGUGCCCACCAGCACCUCCCCACUUGCUGACCUCACUGCCCGAGGGUCCGUCCUCCCAGCCAUGCCACGCCAGCCCCACCACUGCUUCUCUAGUGACCUAGAGCUUACGGCCCCUGAGGCCUAGCAGCCAGGUCCAAAAAGUGAAGGUGGCUGUUUCCGUGGGCUCCUUUGAGGCGAGUCCCUUGGGCGGGCUGGCCUUGUGGCCUGGCAGCCUCUGGAGUCUGGCCUGGUCUGAGAGCCAACAGCCCGAGUCUAAGCUCAAGGAGCAUCUGACACCGCCAGCCCCUCCACUGCCCCAAAUCAAAGCUCUUAAUUCUUGCCCAUUCAUGGCAUGUCGGGAUCAAAAAACCUGUUGCACUGGGCUGAAGUCAACUGCUAACAUAAGUAGCUCCAUGACCCAAAGCCAGAAGCCACCAUUACCUCUGCCGAAGUCUAGGCAGCUCCUUUGGCCAUCCCAGAUGGAGGACAUCUCAGGGCUGUGCUUCCUCUCGAGGUGUAUGUAUGCUCCUGGACUGGCAUAGCAAUGUGCUUAUGUGCGAGUGUGUGCACGCAUGUGACUGCAGGUGGAAGUGUGUUCGUGUGUGCAUGUGUGCAAACACCUGUGAGCAUGGGCAUGGGGCUUUGUUCCUGUGUGUGUGUGAAUGCACAAGCAUGUGUGUGUGCAUGUGUGUGCAUCUGCAUGUGUGUGUGAGCGUGCCGGGGGUGCCCUCAAGUGUGCUGAGUGAUGAUGACUGAUAUGAGCACUUUAUUUUUGACCAGUGGAAGCAAAAUCACUUGCACACCACGCCAAGCCCCCCUUGCUGGUUUCCCUGUUAAACACAGCAAACGUGCGUAUCCAAUGAAAAGCUACAUAGCAACUUAAUCUCCUAUCGAUCCUGAGGAAAGGAAAAUAAAACCCUGCUCCCUGGGGCAUGGGUAGCCCGAUCAGCAGUUGUUCUUGAUAUAGAAUGUGGGCAAUAGCUGCAUUAAAUAUAAGUGGAGA